AAAUUGAAGAGUUUGAUCAUGGCUCAGAUUGAACGCUGGCGGCAGGCCUAACACAUGCAAGUCGAACGGUAACAGGAAGCAGCUUGCUGCUUUGCUGACGAGUGGCGGACGGGUGAGUAAUGUCUGGGAAACUGCCUGAUGGAGGGGGAUAACUACUGGAAACGGUGGCUAAUACCGCAUAACGUCGCAAGACCAAAGAGGGGGACCUUCGGGCCUCUUGCCAUCAGAUGUGCCCAGAUGGGAUUAGCUAGUUGGUGAGGUAACGGCUCACCAAGGCGACGAUCCCUAGCUGGUCUGAGAGGAUGACCAGCCACACUGGAACUGAGACACGGUCCAGACUCCUACGGGAGGCAGCAGUGGGGAAUAUUGCACAAUGGGCGCAAGCCUGAUGCAGCCAUGCCGCGUGUAUGAAGAAGGCCUUAGGGUUGUAAAGUACUUUCAGCGGGGAGGAAGGUGUUGCGGUUAAUAACCGCAGCAAUUGACGUUACCCGCAGAAGAAG
rnacentral:rRNA from 2 species